GAUGAACGCUGGCGGCGUGCCUAAUACAUGCAAGUCGAGCGAAUGGAUUAAGAGCUUGCUCUUAUGAAGUUAGCGGCGGACGGGUGAGUAACACGUAGGUAACCUGCCCAUAAGACUGGGAUAACUCCGGGAAACCGGGGCUAAUACCGGAUAACAUUUUGAACCGCAUGGUUCGAAAUUGAAAGGCGGCUCCGGCUGUCACUUAUGGAUGUACCCGCGUCGCAUUAGCUAGUUGGUGAGGUAACGGCUCACCAAGGCAACGAUGCGUAGCCGACCUGAGAGGGUGAUCGGCCACACUGGGACUGAGACACGGCCCAGACUCCUACGGGAGGCAGCAGUAGGUAAUCUUCCGCAAUGGACGAAAGUCUUACGGAGCAACGCCGCGUGAGUGAUGAAGGCUUUCGGGUCGUAAAACUCUGUUGUUAGGGAAGAACAAGUGCUAGUUGAAUAAGCUGACACCUUGACGGUACCUAACCAGAAAGCCACGGCUAACUACGUGCCAGCCGCCGCCUAA
rnacentral:rRNA from 1 species